AAAAGAAAUCACACGCUCAUCCCCAGAUCCCAGCUAACCGCAAAUCAAAGCCUCUCUUAUCCCUUCUUCGGAACAAAUCCCAGCAUUACGAUUCAUCUUCACCCCAUGUCAAAGCUCCUUCCAAAUCCCUUGCGUUCCACGACAUUCACCCAGCUCACCAUGUUCAUGAUUUGUCUUCAUCCCGUAUCCAAACAAAAUCCCUUGCUCCCAGCUGCUUCAUCCUCCCGAAUCCCACUAUCAGCCACAUCAUCCUUCCCAGCAUCUUCCAGGCCAUCAUCCCCUUCUCCCGUGUUCCAACGAAACAGAGCCGAAUCCAUCUCUAUCGCAUUUCAACUCAUCUCUCAUCCUAUGCUUUGAAACCAAGUUCCGGAUCAACCACAUCCGCAGCCAUUCCCGAGCUUCUUCUCAUUCUGGAUUGAUCCUAUCAUCCAUAGGAUAAGGUUUAGGUGUUCAUUCCGAAGCUAGAUCCCAUGAUCUUCGGAUCAAACUUUCUCCCCUGCUUCCGAAUUUCCCAGAUUUCUUCCCAACUGCCAGACGUCCCAGCUUCAUCUCUUCCAAACUUCCUUCAUCCAUACGUUCCAGAUCCCCUGUUUCAUGCGUUUUCAUCUCAGCCAAAUCCAAACUUCCUCGUCCAUGGAUCCCUUCACGCUCACGAAUCUAUUGUUUCCUCCCAUUCACGAAUGCAUCUCAGUCGGAUCAGCUCCAUCCAACAGCAUCCGAGCCUUCUCCGCGUCUACUUCUCUUCCACGUUGAAGAAGCGUGGGUUUCUUCCUCUCAUUCCCAGCAUCCACAAGCU
rnacentral:lncRNA from 1 species